UUUCCCCCUCAUCAAUUCGUCCCCAUCCCCUUUCCUCUUUCUGCCAUAGUGAUAAGGUUCGUCAGCACAAAAUCGGCGGCCGGUGGAGGGCAAGCUGCUCGGCAGCGAUAACUCGCGCGACCGCGACGACGAGUGGAGGGCAAGCUGCUCGACGGCGAGGAAAUUCAGUCGCUGUUGCGUCGAUAGCUCGUGCGACCGCGGCGGGGAAGAGACACGUCCGCGCGACGAGGGAGCCUAGCCGCUCACUGCUGACAGCUCACGCGACUGCGGCCUGUGCAGCAGAGGCGCGUCCGCAUGACUACGAAGCUAAGCUGCUAGCUGAAGGCUUACGUCCAGCACAACAAUGGAUGCAAUCUGUCCGUUGGACUGUCCGAGACUUAGAAGUUCAAUUCAACAAAGCUGCCAACAUCUUUCCGUGCAAACGUCCGGCUGAGGCCAGCCGACCCUCUCCGGCUCUCCCACUCUCUCUCAGUCCCUCCCCUCCCCUCCAGCCGUCUCUCUCGGCCUCUCCCUCCCCUGCAGCAGGGCGCUGGGCGGAGAAGAGACCGAGAGGGCCGGAGGCGAAAGGGAGAGUCGAAGCCCAAGGGCAGGGAAGGGAGAGGCCGAGAGAGACGGCUGGAGGGGAGGGGAGGGACCGAGGGAGAGUGGAGGCGGGGGCAGCCGCCGGCGCGAGGAAGCCUCCUGCAGCGUGCCCUCUCCCUCUUCUCUGUCACUGGAUAAGAUAGAAGAAAGGAGCGCGGGUUGAAUUCUAAGAAAUACAGGGGUUAAUUAUAAAGCCGAAUCGUUUUUUCAGAAUACCACUUAAAGAGGGACUGCAGGUUUAAUUUUAAAAAACAUAAGGACUUUUUUGUAAAAUGUGCGACGACGUACGACAGAAACCCAAUU